GACAGAGGGUGCAAACGUUGCUCGGAAUCACUGGGCGUAAAGGGUGCGUAGGCGGGUCUUUAAGUCAGGGGUGAAAUCCUGGAGCUCAACUCCAGAACUGCCUUUGAUACUGGAGAGCUCGAGUCCGGAAGAGGUGAGUGGGAACUGCGAGUGUAGAGGUGAAAUUCGUAGAUAUUCGCAAGAACACCAGUGGCGAAGGCGGCUCACUGGUCCGGUACUGACGCUGAGGUGCGAAAGCGAUGGGGAGCAAACG
rnacentral:rRNA from 1 species